UACGGGGGGGCAAGCGUUGUUCGGAAUUACUGGGCGUAAAGGGCGCGUAGGCGGCCUAGCAAGUCAAAGGUGAAAUCCCUCGGCUCAACUGAGGAACUGCCUUUGAAACUGCGAGGCUUGAGGCCGGGAGGGGGUAGCGGAAUUCCCAGUGUAGCGGUGAAAUGCGUAGAUAUUGGGAGGAACACCAGUGGCGAAGGCGACCAUCUGGACGGAUACUGACGCUGAGACGCGAAAGCGUGGGUAGCAAACAGG
rnacentral:rRNA from 1 species